AUUGCUUCUCGCUGAGAGUGAUCCUGGCUCGGGCGGGUGGGGGUCCCCCUUUAAAUUUUGACCCGGCCUGGGGGGGGGGGGUCCCCCCCUUAAAGUUUCCUGGAAACGGGUGGUAAUGCCGAAUGUGCCCUUCGGGGGAAAGAUUUAUCGCCUUUAGAGCGGCCCGCGUCUGAUUAGCUAGUUGGUGAGGUAAUGGCUCACCAAGGCGACGAUCAGUAGCUGGUCUGAGAGGAUGACCAGCCACAUUGGGACUGAGACACGGCCCAAACUCCUACGGGAGGCAGCAGUGGGGAAUCUUGCGCAAUGGGCGAAAGCCUGACGCAGCCAUGCCGCGUGAAUGAUGAAGGUCUUAGGAUUGUAAAAUUCUUUCACCGGGGACGAUAAUGACGGUACCCGGAGAAGAAGCCCCGGCUAACUUCGUGCCAGCAGCCGCGGUAAUACGAAGGGGGCUAGCGUUGCUCGGAAUUACUGGGCGUAAAGGGCGCGUAGGCGGACAUUUAAGUCAGGGGUGAAAUCCCAGAGCUCAACUCUGGAACUGCCUUUGAUACUGGGUGUCUUGAGUGUGAGAGAGGUAUGUGGAACUCCGAGUGUAGAGGUGAAAUUCGUAGAUAUUCGGAAGAACACCAGUGGCGAAGGCGACAUACUGGCUCAUUACUGACGCUGAGGCGCGAAAGCGUGGGGGAGCAAACAGGAUUAGAUACCCUGGUAGUCCACGCCGUAAACGAUGAUUGCUAGUUGUCGGGCUGCAUGCAGUUCGGUGACGCAGCUAACGCAUUAAGCAAUCCGCCUGGGGAGUACGGUCGCAAGAUUAAAACUCAAAGGAAUUGACGGGGGCCCGCACAAGCGGUGGAGCAUGUGGUUUAAUUUCGAAGCAACGCGCAGAACCUUACCACCUUUUGACAUGCCUGGACCGCCAGAGAGAUCUGGCUUUCUCUUCGGAGACUAGACACAGUGCUGCAUGGCUGUCGUCAGCUCGUGUCGUGAGAUGUUGGGUUAAGUCCCGCAACGAGCGCAACCCUCGCCAUUAGCUGCCAUCAUUUAGUUAGGUACUCUAAUGGACUGCCGUGCUAGCUGAGCAGGUGGGGAAUGACGUCAGUCUCAUGCCUACAGGUGGCUACACAUGCUACAAUGCGACUACGAGCUAAUCUAAGUCGUCUCCGAUCGAUGCCUGCAACUGAGGCAUGAAUUGAUCGCCUAGUAUCCGCGGAAUUAC
rnacentral:rRNA from 1 species